UUUAAUCCCACACAUGGGAGGCAGAG
rnacentral:piRNA from 2 species